rnacentral:piRNA from 1 species
UUCCUCAUGGGUAAAUUGGGAUAUCAAGA